rnacentral:tRNA from 1 species
GUUUAUGUAGUUUACAGAAAACAUUACACUUUCACUGUAAAAAUAAAGAAUCCUUUCAUAAAUU